ACUUCUACUACUAUUCUUCAUACUCGGGCGGCAGUCGAAGUCGGGAGCACCCGCCCGAGGAUUCUUCGUGAAAAAAAAUGGGGAGAGGAUCCUAACCCGGACUCUUUUUCCACAUCAAUCGUGAUCUGCUAUAGCUUUGCGGAUAGAGCCUCUAAGGCCGCCCUUGCAGGUGCUCGGGGGGGUUCAUCGUGAGGAAGUAAACACCCGAUGUUGCUGAUAUCUUCCCGAUUCCUGGGGUGGCUCUAGAUGACCCCAACUUUGAAAAACUCUUUUCCUACCACAACUCCACAAAGUACACGAACUAGCAAACAUUCUCACUUCUGUAAUUUCCAGAUACAACUUUAUUAUCUUUGGUAUUGAUCGACAGGGUUCUCCGAGGAUGAAUACUAAAGAGCUAAACUGCUCCAAACGCCGAUUCUCCAGUAGUCGCUUCCUUCUCCACAUGGGGACCCAACCCCAUCGCUCGUGGUCUAAUGAAACCCGAUGUAAGUGCCCCCGGAAUAGAUAUUCUGGCCGCAUACCCUCCAACCGUGCCUGUGAUGAAAGUUCCAGGGGAUGAAAGGAGGGUGAAAUUCAUUCUAUGAUCGGGAACCUCAGUGUCGUGUCCCCAUGCCGCCAGUGCAGCAGCAUACGUCAAAACAUUUCAUCCCGACUGGUCUCCUUCCACCAUUAAAUCGGGCUUCAAUGACCACCGAGUCCAAGGUACGGGAGCCUCCUGAAGUAGAAGCCGCAUAUGCAUUUUCUUAUUGUUCGGGAUAAAUCAAUCCCACAAAGGCCACAGAUCCGGGACUAGUGUAUGAAAUUACAAAGGCCGACUAUAUAAAUGUAGUAUGCCGCUGGGGCUAUGAUAUAAGGACCAUGGACAGCGGAGGCACCAAAACAUCACAGACACCACGAGCUCAACCACCCUGCUCUGGCAUUCGAAGCGCCAGUAUUGGAGCCCUUCCAGGUGGCCCUGAAUAGAACCGUGACAAAUGUCGGGAGACCAAACUAGACUUACAAGGUUGAAACGGUUAAUGCCUCCACGCUUAAUAUCACUGUGGUCCCAGAGGUCCUAUCGUCCCAGUCCAUGUUCGGGAAGAAGUCUUUCACUACUCAGAUUGCUGGGAGUGAACACUCCAGACAUCCUUGCCUGGAGAGGUUGUCUGGUCCGACCGCGUGCAUAACGUGACAACUCCAAUCAUAGUAUAUACGCCAGAAGCUUCUUGAUUUU